CAGACCACAUAGCCGCAAAACGAAUCCUCACUAACUAGCUUGUUAUUCAAUAGGAUUUUCAAACCCCUCUUCAAAGUUUGCAUUUUUACUCUCGUUUUUAGAUUUUAGCUUCUGGGUUUGUAGUUUAAACUUGUUUUUCUUUUGUUGUUCUAAACAAAUUUUGAUAUUUUGGUAUCUGAAACAUAAACUGGACAGUGAUGAUUCCUUUUAUAGGUCUCGUUCGUCGUAAUUGGUCAUUUUUGAUCUUGCCGACAAUACUGUUUUCCGAGUCCUCCUUCUUCAAACCGAGUUUUAUUGUAUUUAUCUCAAUCUUAUGUCCCUGUUCGAUUGUGUGUAUGUUGUUUUUGAUGUCGUUAAUGAUUAUAAUCAUAUGAAUAUUGUCCAUGAUGAUAUAUUGAAGGCUUGUUUCUCAAAACAUUCGCAGUGGCCGCCCAAGAGCUUUCGCCUUCGCCAGGCUUGAGAGCUUAUGCUGUUUUUAUCCUUCCUUGGAUGUCUGAGACAA